rnacentral:rRNA from 1 species
GACGAACGCUGGCGGCGUGCUUGACACAUGCAAGUCGGACGGAGUGGCGAACUGGUGAGUAACACGUGGGUGAUCUGCCUUCCACUUCGGGAUAAGCUUGGGAAACUGGGUCUAAUACCGGAUAGUGCAAGAUGAGCUCGCUGCCUAUCAGCUUGUUGGUGGGGUAAUGGCCUACCAAGGCGUCGACGGGUUGCCGGCCUGUGAGGGUGUACGGCCACAUUGGGACUGAGAUACGGCGCAGGCUCCUACGGGAGGUAGCAGUGGGGAAUAUUGCACAAUGGGGGGAAGCCGGAUGCAGCGACGCCGUGUGGGGGAUGAAGGCCUGCGGGUUGUAAACUCCUUUCGACAGGGACGCGGUACCUGCAUAAGAAGCACCGGCUAACUACGUGCCAGCAGCCGCGGUAAUAC